ACUUGAGUGCAGUGCGCUCCUGCAGCAGUCACACAGAUAGGUGGGAUACAUCCUUGGUGGAGAAUCGCAGAGGCCUGCAGAGGAUCAGAAUGAGGUCAUUUGUGUUUGUGCCCGUUAGCUGAAGGAGGAGGAGGAUGUUUGCUGCUGGUGUUUUUAGCGCGUAUGCUAAUGUUAGCUCUCCUCAUGCAGUAUUUCUGUGUGUGUGAACAGCUAACAUAGCAGCCCGCGGCUUUCGACUUCACUUCCGUCUCUUUUCGAGCAGGAUGAUAGUAUCUCUGAAUCUGUGGUAGUCUAGGGAUUAAUCCGACACAUCUGAGAGAAACAUCAGAAACUGGCCCCGAGUCAGCUGUUGUUGUCUGCGCUGUGUUCAAGAGAGAGAGGCUGAAGAUGAGCAGGAGGAGGCCUGUGAGGUUCAUAUGAGCCUCUAGAGUGACUGACAGCUGUCUGUGGUGAGCAUGUCUGUGCACGAGGACUUAGAUCACCCGCGCUUCUUUGUGGGAGCGGAUGACGGCGAGGGAGACGAGUUGCUGGAUCCAGCCAGAGUGCUCGGCUAUGACUGCCUGUACGAGAACCUGGAAGAGGAGGAUGAGGACAGAGAUGAUGCAGAAUAUGAUUCGCCUCCUGAGAGACAGAUUUGUGGGGG